UCGCGCUUGCGCCGUACGCAGCGAGAUACAGAGCGCAAAGGCCACUCCGCAAGGACCGCAAGUCCGCACUCCGCAGUGCACUACUCCGCGCGCCGAUAAUGUCGAUACUCGCGGCUCUCGUGGUCGAGCGUUGAUCGCCGUACGCGAGAGUGUAUGGUCGCGUGCGGGCGCGGCGCGAUGUCACACUAGAGUGAGAGUAUCGUGAUUGCGUUUUCGGGAUCCUCGUUGCUCCGGAGUGGCCGUACGUGCGUGCAUCCGUGCGUGCGUGCGUACGUGCGUGCGUGCGUGCGUGCGUGCGAAUCUCGUCCCUCUCUCGCGUACGCGUUCUCACUAUCGUGUCCCCGUCGCGUCGCGUCGCGUCGCUCGACGGUGGACGCGCGCAGUAGGGUAGAAGAAUUGUAGGUUAUGAAAAAGUCGGGCAAACAUUGGACAAGCGUGAGUAACGUGUCGACGGUGUGCCUGCCGAAGACGAGGCGUAAUCGCGCGACGAGCCUCGGGGACGAUAGCCUGUUGAACUUCAACAUGAAGGAGCAGGAUAUACCCGAGUACCUGGAGGGCUGCGGCCUGUCGUCCUGCACGGCCAGCCUGACCAGCGACGUGUCCGACGACACGUUAGAGUUUCAGAUGAUGCGCGACAGCGUCAAGGAGAAGAAGUUCUCUACCGCGUCCUUCAGCAGCAGCAGCAGCAGCACCCUGGUCGACGGCAAGAAGAUCGUCAUGGUGAUACACCCGGACUCGAACAAGCCGAAGCCGACGAUCAAGAAGAUACCGAUCCAGGCGGAGCUGGACGUGGGCAAGGAGUUCGUCCGCUGCAGGGAGCUGUGCGUCACGAGGCUGGACCUGAGCAAGGCCAGCAUCACGAAUCUGCCGAGCUCCGUGAAGGAGCUCAAGCACCUGCGGGAGUUCUAUCUGUACAGUAACAGGCUGGUGAGCCUGCCGUCCGAGAUCGGUUUCCUGGCGAAUCUCGAGGUGCUCGCGCUCAACGAGAACUCGCUCACGAGUCUGCCCAACACCCUGGCGAACCUAAAGUCGCUGCGGGUGCUGGAUCUCAGGCACAACAAGCUCAACGAGAUCCCGGACGUGGUCUACAAGCUCACGUCGCUCACCACGUUGUUCCUGCGCUUCAACCGCGUCAGGUACGUCAGCGACAACAUACGUAACCUGACGAACCUUACCAUACUGAGCUUCCGGGAGAACAAGAUCAAGGCGCUACCGCCGGGAAUAGGCAAGCUGGUCAAUCUCCUGACCUUCGACGUCUCGCACAACCACUUGGAGCACUUGCCGGUGGAGAUCGGCAAGUGCGUGCAGCUGUCGACGCUGGAUGUGCAGCACAACGAGCUCCUCGACCUGCCCGAGUCGAUCGGCAAUCUGGUGUCGCUGACGAGACUGGGCAUUCGAUACAACAGGCUAACGAAUAUCCCAAAGUCGUUGUCGAAUUGCAAGGAGAUGGACGAGUUCAGCAUCGAGGGCAAUCAGGUGUCGCAUCUGCCGGACGCUCUGCUGGCGAGUCUGUCGGGCCUCACGACCAUCACCCUGUCCAGGAACAGCUUCGUCUCGUAUCCGGUGGGCGGCCCGGCUCAGUUCAUGAACGCCUAUUCCAUUAACGUGGAGCACAAUCAGAUCGACAAGAUCCCCUACGGCAUCUUCUCGCGGUCCAAGAACCUGACGAAGCUGAACAUGAAGGAGAAUCUGCUCAACACCCUGCCGCUCGACAUCGGCUCGUGGGUGACCAUGGUCGAACUGAACCUCGGCACGAAUCAGCUGGUGAAGCUCCCGGACGACAUACAGUGCCUGCGCAGUCUCGAGAUACUGAUACUCUCCAACAAUCUGUUGAAACGCCUCCCGACCACCAUAGUGAACCUUCGUAAGCUACGGGUGCUGGACCUGGAGGAGAACCGCAUCGACAUGCUGCCGAACGAGAUCGGCCUGAUGACCGAGCUGCAGAGGCUGAUCCUGCAGUCGAAUCAGCUUACCGUGCUGCCGCGCACGAUCGGCCACCUCAAGAGUGUCACGUUUCUCAGCGUGGGCGAGAACAAUCUCGCUUACGUGCCGGAGGAGGUCGGCAGCAUGAUGAGCCUGGAGUCGCUCUACCUCAACGACAACAAGAACCUGCACAAUCUCCCGUUCGAGCUGGUGUUGUGCAAGAAGCUCCUUAUCAUGUCAAUUGAGAACUGUCCGCUGUCGCACAUACCGGCGGAUAUAGUGGCCGGUGGCCCGUCACUGGUCAUCCAAUUUCUCAAGAUGCAGGGUCCCUACCGAAACUUCAGUUCCAGCUAGAAAGGGACAUUUUCUUCGACGUCUACCGCUAGCCCGGUAAUCAAUUUUACAAUUACAAUACCGGAAUACGCACCUCGCAAAAAUCGCAAUAGGAUUCGUCUCUUAGCAUUCCUCUUCCCGUUUUGAACUAAGAAUCUUUAUCGCUGAAAGGUCGUGGUGAUCGUAUAUUACAUAUAUAUAUAUAUAUAAACUACAUUAAUUUACAAGUUCUUCCUAUAAAGUGUACACGCACAUACAUUUUCGACAUGGUCGGACUGCAACUAUUAAAAGUGACCAGUGAUAAACGGUAUUGGAGAUUUGCUCUUGGUUGCAAAGACUAUGUUAUCUUGUAAUCUGUUACGGUGAUACGAGCGAAUGCGUUGCGGACAGGGAGAAAAGACAUUGUAAAACUUAAUUAGAGAGUACAACUUAAAAGUGCACGUCGGGGCGAACGUUACGAAAGGUUCUUGACAAUUAAUGAGUAUGUCAGAUAUUUUAAGUCUGAAAGUGAAAACUUCUUUCAUUGUAUUAUAGGAUAAAGGUUGCGGUAUAACGGUCGCCAUGAGCUCCCACUUACGCGAACUAUUAAUAGUGAAAUGCGUCUUAUCGAAGACGUAAACGGUUCAUCGAUAUUAGACAAAAGAUUUUCUUUUUUUAAAAGUAUGACGUAAUUCACUCGACGUUAUGUAAUGUUAUGUACAGAAACAGCGCGCACUGUGCGCGUUACUUGGAAUGGAGAAUUUUAGUAGUAAUAGUAGCUUUUAUUGUAUAUUUGUUGCUUUUAACGCUACGCGUUACAUAUUAUCUACAGUUAUGAAGAUGUAUGUCGAUGCUUUUGUAAUUUUGUCUUUUAUUAUAUAUAUAUAUAUAUAUAUCUCUCUCUCUCUCUCUCUCGAGUGUUGA